AUUGGACGCCGGCGGUAUGCCUUACACAUGCAAGUCGAACGGCAGCACGGGUGCUUGCACCUGGUGGCGAGUGGCGAACGGGUGAGUAAUACAUCGGAACGUACCUUAUCGUGGGGGAUAACGCAGCGAAAGCUGAGCUAAUACCGCAUACGCCCUGAGGGGGAACGCGGGGGAUCGCAAGACCUCGCGCGAUUAGAGCGGCCGAUGCCUGAUUAGAUUGUGGGUGGGGUAAAAGCCCACCAAGGCGACGAUCAGUAGAUGGUCUGAGAGGACGAUCAGCCACACUGGGACUGAGACACGGCCCAGACUCAGACGGGAGGCAGCAGUGGGGAAUUUUGGACAAUGGGGGCACCCUGAUCCAGCAAUGCCGCGUGAGUGAAGAAGGCCUUCGGGUUGUAAAGCUCUUUUGUCAGGGAAGAAACACCGGCUCUAACACAGUCCGGGAAUGACGGUACCUGAAGAAUAAGCACCGGCUAACUACGUGCCAGCCGCCGCAGUAA
rnacentral:rRNA from 1 species